rnacentral:rRNA from 1 species
AUACGGAGGGGGCUAGCGUUGUUCGGAUUUACUGGGCGUAAAGCGCACGUAGGCGGUUUAUCAAGUUAGGCGUGAAAGCCCCGGGCUCAACCCGGGAACUGCGCUUAUUACUGAUAGACUAGAGAGCGGGAGAGGGUAGCGGAAUUCCCAGUGUAGAGGUGAAAUUCGUAGAUAUUGGGAAGAACACCAGUUGCGAAGGCGGCUACCUGGACCGGUACUGACACUGAGGUGCGAAAGCGUGGGGAGCAAACAGGAUUAGAUACCCCAGUAGUCC